rnacentral:tRNA from 1 species
UUUUAAGUAGUAUAUGUAGUACAAAUACCUUCCAAGUAUAUAGACUCCUCGAGCUUUUGCA